rnacentral:rRNA from 1 species
UACGUAGGGUGCGAGCGUUAAUCGGAAUUACUGGGCGUAAAGCGUGCGCAGGCGGUUUUGUAAGCCAGAUGUGAAAUCCCCCGGGCUUAACCUGGGAAUGGCAUUUGGGACUGCAAGGCUGGAGUGUGGCAGAGGAGACUGGAAUUCCUGGUGUAGCAGUGAAAUGCGUAGAUAUCAGGAGGAAUACCGAUGGCGAAGGCAGGUCUCUGGGCUGACACUGACGCUCAUGCA